rnacentral:rRNA from 1 species
UACGUAGGGUGCAAGCGUUAAUCGGAAUUACUGGGCGUAAGCGUGCGCAGGCGGUUUGGUAGGUCCGCUGUGAAAACUCGAGGCUCAACCUCGAGACGCCGGUGGAAACCAUCAGGCUAGAGUCCGGAAGAGGAGAGUGGAAUUCCUGGUGUAGCGGUGAAAUGCGCAGAUAUCAGGAAGAACACCCGUGGCUAAGGCGGCUCUCUAGUACGGUACUGACGCUGAGACGCGAAAGCGUGGGGAGCGAACAGG